AGUGAACGCUGGCGGCGUGCUUAACACAUGCAAGUCGAACGAGAACGGGUUAUAGCUUGCUAUAAUUGUCAGCUAAGCGGCGCACGGGUGAGUAAUGUAUAGGUAAUAUGCCUCUUACUAAGGGAUAACAAAUGGAAACGUUUGCUAAUACCUUAUACUCCUUAUUAACAUAAGUUAAUAAGGGAAAGAUUUAUUGGUAAGAGAUUAGCCUGUAUUGUAUCAGUUAGUUGGUGGGGUAAUGGCUUACCAAGACUAUGACACAUAACUGGUUUGAGAGAAUGAUCAGUCACACUGGAACUGAGACACGGUCCAGACUCCUACGGGAGGCAGCAGUGGGGAAUAUUGCACAAUGGACGAAAGUCUGAUGCAGCAACGCCGCGUGGAGGAUGACACAUUUCGGUGCGUAAACUCCUUUUAUAUGAGAAGAUAAUGACGGUAUUAUAUGAAUAAGCACCGGCUAACUCCGUGCCAGCAGCCGCCGUAA
rnacentral:rRNA from 1 species